rnacentral:tRNA from 1 species
UGCCGGAUCGUCUAAGGGCAGGACAACGGUUUUUGGUACCGUCAAUCAAGGUUCGAAUCCUUGUCCGGCAGCCA